CGCAUCUGUGCAUGCAGCAUAUCAAUAGCGGAGGAAAAGAAACUAACAAGGAUUCCCCUAGUAACGGCGAGUGAAGCGGGAAGAGCUCAAAUUUGAAAUCUUAAAGGGUUUCCCUUUACGAAUUGUAGUUUAAAGAAGUGUUUUCUGUUGAGGUUUUGGUAAAAGUUCUUUGGAAUAGGACAUCAUAGAGGGUGAGAAUCCCGUAUUUGACCUUUACUUUCAACUUUGUGAUACACUUUCAAAGAGUCGGAUUGUUUGGGAAUGCAGUCCAAAAUGGGUGGUAAAUUUCAUCUAAAGCUAAAUAUUGGCGAGAGACCGAUAGCGAACAAGUACCGUGAGGGAAAGAUGAAAAGAACUUUGAAAAGAGAGUUAAACAGUACGUGAAAUUGUCAAAAGGGAAGCGUUUGACACCAGUGUUGUUUUUCUGAAAAUCAAUUAAAGAACUGUUUAUGCUAAGUUGUUUAGACUUUAUCAGCUAUCUGUUUAGUUUUGAGCUUUUCUUUAAUGCACUUUUCAGUUAACAAGUCAACAUCAAUUUCUUUUGCUGUAAAAAAGCUUGAGGAAGGUGGCUUGAGAUUCGUCUUAAGUGUUUAUAGCCUCUUGCCUAUGCAGUCGGAGAGAUUGAGGUCUGCAGCGUAGAUCCUUCGGGGCUAAAUGCAUUUGUGCUAAGUUAUAGCAUUUUAUAGACAACUUGUUGACUAUGAUUUGUCUCGUAGCUUACUCGCUUAUGUUAUUUUACCUACGCUUAGGAUGUUGAAUCUGUGCGAGACUAC
rnacentral:rRNA from 1 species